GGGGUCGUAGCUCAAAUGGUAGAGCGCCCGCUUAGCAUGCGGGAGGUAGGGGGAUCGAUGCCCUCCGACUCCA
rfam:Monoraphidium neglectum strain SAG 48.87 unplaced genomic scaffold scaffold02476, whole genome shotgun sequence.